GGUGGAAUAGGUUAGUGGUAGAGCCCAUGCUUAACAUGCAUGAAGUCCUGGGUUCAAUCUCUAGUACCUCCA
rnacentral:tRNA from 1 species